rnacentral:rRNA from 1 species
GAUGAACGCUGGCGGCGUGCCUAAUACAUGCAAGUCGAGCGAACAGACGAGGAGCUUGCUCCUCUGACGUUAGCGGCGGACGGGUGAGUAACACGUGGAUAACCUACCUAUAAGACUGGGAUAACUUCGGGAAACCGGAGCUAAUACCGGAUAAUAUAUUGAACCGCAUGGUUCAAUAGUGAAAGACGGUUUUGCUGUCACUUAUAGAUGGAUCCGCGCCGCAUUAGCUAGUUGGUAAGGUAACGGCUUACCAAGGCAACGAUGCGUAGCCGACCUGAGAGGGUGAUCGGCCACACUGGAACUGAGACACGGUCCAGACUCCUACGGGAGGCAGCAGUAGGAAAUCUUCCGCAAUGGGCGAAAGCCUGACGGAGCAACGCCGCGUGAGUGAUGAAGGUCUUCGGAUCGUAAAACUCUGUUAUUAGGGAGGAACAAAUGUGUAAGUAACUAUGCACGUCUUGACGGUACCUAAUCAGAAAGCCACGGCUAACUACGUG